CAAUUUAUUAAUGGUUAUCUUAAAGCAGAAGACUGAAACGGUCUCAGCUUAGAGCCUAGCAGGGUGAAGGAAACAGAGUUUUCUAAUGGAGGUAGGCAUCAAGGAGGUAGCAAAUCGGUUCGUCGGCAGGAAGGAGUGUGUGUGGUCAGGAAGAGCGGCAGACAGCUGAGCUGAGUCUGCAAGGAUGAAUAGGAGACUCCAGGGACAAGACUGGAAAGGGCAGCCCUUUCUUGACAUCUCUUAGGGAAUAAACAGCUUAUGGUUGGCUGGGACUCCUUGGAGAAGGUCUGGGUGAGGCCAGUGGGAGCCCGCAGGAGUAAAAGCCCUAAAGAAGCGCUGAUUCACACCGGCUGCAGAUUUUGGCCAAGAAAUGCACUCAUUUCUCCAAAUAACCAGCUUUUCAAUAUAAAGGUUUGUCUAUGCCUCGUCGAUCCCCAAUCCUCCCAGUCCUACUGAACUCGGAAGUACCAACCGCGAAGGUUCUGUUUGAUGGUUCCCAUCAAGGAUAAAACUGAAAAUAGGAAGCCUUCAGUUGCUGACUGUGAGAUAAACUUGCCUAAGCAGCCUGCCAAAAGCAGCAGAUCAUAUGAAAAGCCACAUGACUAACCAGAAAUAAUUGGAGCUUAAAAGAUGCCAGAGUCGAUGAGUAAGAUUUCUUUCAACAAAAGAUUUACUUAAAGCAAAUUCACCCACUCACAAGUUCUUGAGUGCCAUCAUCUUUUAACCUUGGGACAUUUCACUUGCUCUGGUGUGGUUUCAUUGACACAGAAAUGUCAGCCUUUAAUGGCUAUAACUAGUUGUCUAUUUAUUUCUCUGUUCAAUAUAUCUUCAAAGUUUACUGUGUGCUGCCUGUGCUUCAAGAUGCAAA